AUACGAAAGGUGCAAGCGUUGUUCGGAUUUACUGGGCGUAAAGAGAGUGUAGGUUGUUUAUUAAGUCGGAUGUGAAAUCCAGGGGCUCAACCUCGGAACUGCAUUCGAUACUGGUAGACUAGAGUUCGGGAGGGGUAAGCGGAAUUCCGUGUGUAGCAGUGAAAUGCGUAGAUAUACGGAGGAACACCUGAGGCGAAGGCGGCUUACUGGACCGAUACUGACACUGAGACUCGAAAGCGUGGGUAGCAAACAGGAUUAGAAACCCCAGUAGUCC
rnacentral:rRNA from 1 species